rnacentral:rRNA from 1 species
CUAAUUCCGGGCAGGCAGACGCGGUAAUAAGGAGGAGCCAAGCGUGAUACUGAAUGACUGGGCGUAAAGAGGUGCGUAGGGUGCAUAGUAAGCAGAUAGUGAAAUUGUGUGGCUCAACCAGACACCCAUUAUCUGAACUGCUAAGCUAGAGUAUAUGAGAGGUAGCUGGAAUUCCUAGUGUAGGAGUGAAAUCCGUAGAUAUUAGGAGGAACACCGAUGGCGUAGGCAGGCUACUGGCAUAUUACUGACACUAAGGCACGAAAGCGUGGGGAGCGAACGGGAUUAGAUACCCCUGUAGUC